UUCAGUUUGAUGUUCUCGACCUCGCGUGUUGUACAUAGGUAAAGGUACGACCAUGUUCACGAUUUCCCUGCGAGUUCCUGAUUCAGCAUUGCAUACGGUGCAUAUUGGCUUAAAAUCUGUGUCAGGAUUGAUCCAGUUCAUGAGUACCUCUCAGGUUUUAUAGCCAUUCCCGAAUCCAAUUUUAGUGCUUCAAUGACAUUCUCUGCAAAAGUAAGAAUUUUUCUAUUGCUUAUUAGCUGUCCCCUUGAAUUGCAGUUCUCUCCGAGGCAAUGCAAAAUAUUCAUUCUUACAAUGAUGCCCUAGCGGAGGAAAUGUACUGCCAGAUUGCUGUCUGUUUGACAGCUCCAUAACACAAACGCAUUGCGUACGCCGAACGAGGGAGUAUUGUUCGUCAGUCACGUCGGACGGAAAACGACAAUCAGCAUUUCCUUCAUGGAUCUUUAGAGGUAACCAGGAUAUUGUUUUGCUAAAAGUUUAUUUUGAUACUUGUGAUUCAAUUCCAGUUAAAAUGGCCUUCCAUUGUUCAAAUCUUGCGUAUCAGCACGUGGCUGAUGUCCUGUGAUACAUCAGGCCAGGAAGAAUCCUCAUUUGGUAAUAUUUUGGGAGAUGUUAGUUUUCAUUUAGUGUGACAUUAAUUAAUUGCGACGUGGUUAAUUGUAGUUAAUUUAGUGAUAUUUAAAAUCAAGCUAAAAAGAGGAUUUUUAUAUCAUCACAGAUUUGCUUUCCCAUAAUGUCGUCUUAGACUGCAUGCUCCGGCUGAAGGCUGAACGUUUCUUCACAUGUAGAAAUACUUCAGAAUAGUAAAAGUAAUUAUGUUAUCUAACUUUUGAAUCCCAAGGUAACACAUUUAGUUAUUUGGCGACUUUGUAAACGACAGUCGUUGGGAGGGGUUGAAAUUUGUAUAUAUCUCUCCCAAAUUUCGCCAGUUUUUCGUUCCUAGCUUUUUGAGAGGGGAGGGGGGAAGAAACUGUCUAGACUUGUCAAGGGGUUAACACACACCUCCUCGACGCACUACUGGUUGCCAGUUUUUAUUACCCGCUCUUUAACCAUUUGUUCUAAAAAGUCGAGACGUAAAAUUGUGUCAUCGGGAUCAGGUGGAGGACUGGAGGAGUAUUUGUUCGUGAGUGACUAGCCGUUUGCAUAUGAGACGGUGGACGGAAAUGUUUUAUUGCUUGAUGACAGUGCUUUCAUCAAUUAAACUUAAGACGCAUUUUGUGACACACCAUUUGGUUAAGCUGAAUCGAAAGUGAACAAUUCUAAAGCAAGUAAAUGGUGAGUUCUGACAUCGGGAAAUUCAUUUUCUAAUCUACUUUAACUUUUUCGAAGCAUGUCGAAGAUUUAUGGUGAUUUUACUUUUAUUAAAUGGCAACUAGCAUAAAUUUCUACUUGCCAAUUUCAUCUUAUGUGACUUGCAAUUGUUGUACAUUUUCAUAAAAUGUGACUUAGUUUAUAUUUUAUAGAUACUUUAUUUUAUUGUUAACAGGCUGGUGUAGUCUGAGCAUCAUUGCAAUCUAUGAAUUAGUUGCGGGCAGCUGGCAAACGGUGUUCUGCUCUCGCUGUCUUGCUGCACUAGUUAUGUUUCGUGAAAUCCAGAAACACUUCAGAACAAUUAGGCUAUUAACAGUAACGCUAUUACAUAGUUCGAUGAUGACCAGCUCUAUUAAUGGCAAUUGUUGGUUCAGUUCUGAAAUUGAAUUUAGAAUUGAAGAAUAAGCAAGAGUAGGAAGGGUUUCUUGGUUAUUUCAAAUAUUUCUGUAUCUAAAAAAAACUUACCGAGUUGUUUAGCUGUGAAUGAAUAAUUGAAAUAAUCUGAUAUAAAUCUCAAAAUGAACAUCUGGACAUUGUAAUUGUUCUGCCGGUGGUUACGAUGCUUUGCAAUUAAAUAUCGCAUGUUACAUAAUUUGAAUACAUUAAAUGAAAAGUAACUAACAUUAAUGCAAUAUAUCAUAACGGUAUUCAAUAUAUUCUCUUUCCCUAAAUCAUAUCUGCUUGAUAAUAAAUAUAAUAGUUGUUAACAAUACAACAAUAUUUUGCCACCGAA